rnacentral:tRNA from 1 species
GCUCCGGGUAGCUCAACUGGGUAGAGCAGCGACGGUCGGCACUCCCUUGCCCCCUCGGCCGGCGCCUGACUGUUCUCGUGCAUAAGCGGGUUGCGGGUUCGAGUCCCGCCCCGGAGCC